UGCGGCCACAAGCAGAGGGACCCCAGGAUUCUCAAAUCUGUUACCUUGUCUCACCUCCCCUAGGAAGCAGAAGAGUGCUAUGAAAAUCUUUAGCUGCUGAUCACAGCUAUAAACGAGAUGAGGAGGGUCCCUGUCCUCUUGGUGUUUCCAGUCUCCCAAAGAAGACAGACAUGAAACAAUGAUGGUUACAGUUCAAGAUGGAGGAUUCUCCCUUUUGGAUAAUGAAAGAACUAAGUUUUGGCUUCUAACAACCAGAAGAGUCUCCCUGUGGAGGCAGGAGAGAACUGCAGCUGGGCUGCCCCUUUGUGAGGCUCCUCAGAAGUUUCCUGACUGAAAGGUCCAAUACCAAGCUGCCCAGUACAAAACUGGUCUCCUGGCAACUAUAGCUGAAUCCACCAUCGCCUCCCCUAAGAAGAGUGCUUAUCAGGGCACGUUCAUCCAAGAGAACUGAGGAAUGAGGAACAAAGAAAACAAGUUAACAUUUACCACGGCUUCCGCUACGCGCUUUACAUGAAUCAUUUUUGUUUCUUGCCAGAACCUAUGAGAUAACGUGCAGUUGCCAUAAGCACGGGAUGAUGGGCGGAAGCAGUUGCCAUAAGCACGGGAUGAUGGGCGGACCCACAGGCAGCAGUAAAGUUAUGUGCAGGGUGAAGGAUGAGGACUGAGGGGACUCGAGCAGGCA